UACAGAGGGGGCAAGCGUUGUUCGGAAUUACUGGGCGUAAAGGGCGCGUAGGCGGCCUUAUAAGUCGGACGUGAAAUCCCCGGGCUCAACCCGGGAACUGCGUCCGAUACUGGAAGGCUUGAAUCCGGGAGAGGGAUGCGGAAUUCCAGGUGUAGCGGUGAAAUGCGUAGAUAUCUGGAGGAAUACCGGUGGCGAAGGCGGCAUCCUGGACCGACAUUGACGCUGAUGAGCGAAAGCUAGGGGAGCAAACGGG
rnacentral:rRNA from 1 species